UUUGAAAGAAAUUGGACUUUCAAGUGUGUCUUACAGUGCGGGAAAUACAGUAAACAUUUUAAACAAAACGUAUUAAAUGCACUCAGAACUCAAGCACAUUCAUCAUACUGCAAUUUUGACUCGUCUAUGUUAUGACUUUAAAUUGCUGCUUUAGUGUUAGGAUUGGUUCUUGCUUGGACUGCUUGCUCAAGAAAAACUAGGUCAUACUGGUGUUUGCAUCUUUGCUCUAUACGUUUUUGUUUUUUUUUAGGGAUUCUUUUAAUUUUUGAUCUGUAGGAUUUAAAUCUACCCAAACUGUGUUUGUUUCCUUGCAUUUGCUGUUUCUCCCCAACUGUCACUCUGUUAGAUAAAAGCCUUAGGAGCGUCCAUAUGCAGCUGCAUCAACGACUCAGGGGCACAAACACCUUUAGAUAAACACACAGCGGAGCACUCAGGUCAGCACAGCUCUUUUAUGUUUUGUUUUUCAAAUCUGAACAAUAUUUCUCAGUGGUUUCAUCAUUUAUUCACCUGUGUCUCUCUUUAGAGAAAGGGGGAAAGAAACAACAAGACAUUUCAAGGUGUUGAGGUCCUUUUAUGAACUAUCUGUGACCAACAACGAUCAAACGGGGCUCGGAAACGAGCAUUUAUUGGACCACUUCCAAUAAAAAGGAAAACCGGGCAGCAGCACUCUGACAGGACUUAAAAAGAGGGCAUGUAUGCAGUGCAGCUGUUUCCUCAUCUCAUCGGAUACGUCUCGGUGCCUGCGGGGCAGAAAGAGUAUCUUUGGACAUUCAUUCCGGCUUUAUGAUGGACGGAUCCUCGACAGAUCAAAACCCCGAUGGGAGAAAGCAACGUACAAAUGGAAACAAGAUGCUGUAAAAUGUUCCUGUGGAGCCAGGGGGUUAUGGGGAAUGAAGCCAAAUCAGAUAUCGGCACAUCAAACUUGCCUUGUGAGCUGAAACAAGUAAAGAAUGGUGAGAAAAAAGAAACGAAAGGCAGAAAUAUCUAACAGAAGACUUGUAAAAAUAACCUAUGUGCUUUAAAAUUGCUUUUGUUUCUUGUCAAAAUAUGCAAGAGAUCCCUGUUUGAACUCAAGGCUAAACUUCUGCUAGUGCUUAAAAAAAAACAAAAAACAAACAUCAUGCUUAUCUGCAUUAGCGAAGUCGCUACAUCCACUUUCAACAACUCGGUUUAAGCACACUAUGUUUUCUAAAUCUAAAUCUAUUUUUUUUUUCAAACAAGGUGAGGAGUUACAGGUUUUGUGAGUACGAGACUGUUUUUUUACAUGUUACUAACAAGGCUGGUUGUUAGCAUACUCACAGUUACGUUCGUUUUAGAUGUAUCUUUAUGUUACGUGUUGCUAACAAGGAUGAGUUAACAUAGCCGCAGAAGCAUUUGUUUAGCGGCAUCGGUCUUUUUUUUUUUUUUUUUUUUUUACGUGUUGCUGGUAGUUAGCAAAGUCAGAGUUGCAUUUUUUAGGAGUAUUUGACUUUUGUUUUUUGGUUUAAAUCCUUGCAUUGGAGUUAUAGGUCUUAUGUGGCAGUGUCUGACUGUGUUUUUUAUUUCACAAACAAGGUUGGGUUUUAACAUAGGUAAAGAAACAAUUGCUUUAACAAUAUUAGUCUGUGUCUUUUUUACUUGUAGCAAUCAAGGUUAGAAGUUAGCAUGGCCACAGGAGCAUUUGUUGUAGCGGUAUCAGUCUUUUUGGUUACGUGUUGCUAGCAAGUUUGGUAGUAAGCGUUGUCAAAGUAGCGUUUGUUUUAGCAGUGUCAAACUUUCUGUUUAACAUGUUGCAGAAAAGGUUGGGAGUUACAGGUCUUGUGAAUACACUAGCGGUGUCUGACUGGGUUAGUAUGUGUUAUUAACAUGGUUGGGAUUUAGCAUGGUCACGGUAACAAUUGUUUUAGCGGUAUCAGUCUGUUUUUUGUUUUUUUAAUUUUUUUUUUUACGUGUUGCCAACAAGGUUCGGAGUUAAAGGCCUUGUGAAUACUCUAGCGUCGCGAACAUGCAGAAGUUUCUGACUGUGUUUGCAGGAGUUAGCUUAGUCACUGUAAUGUUUGUUUUAGCUGCAUCAGGCUGUUUUUCGCAAACAAGUGGUAGCAAAUGCGUAGAGUUACACAAACGUUCUAGAAAUGCAGUUCAUGUUUGACCAACUGAUGGACCAUUUUUUUAAGUUUUGUCUCGCUUAAUGUGACUUAUAGUUCAGUGCGCCUUAUAUUUGACAACAGUUAGUAACUAGACCAUUCACUGACUGCGUGUCUUAGAAGAGGAAAGCUGCAUCCGAGUUUUUCUUUCCUCUGAGAUCGUAACGAGCCGGUAUAAAAGAAUGGAGAACAGAAGUAGAAGUGCAGACACAAGGAAAUGAGAAGAAGACCAGAAAAGGGGUAAGAGUAUCACAGUUUCAUCAUUUGUGAGAGGUGGUAGGCCUGCGGUGGCUGCAGAGGAACAAUCGGCAGCUCCGGUUAUUCAUUAGGGCAACAUUCAUUAGUCUCUCCCUGUAAUCCGCCACCGACAUGGAGGACAGGAUGAAGAGCAAGACAGCGAGCACGCUCCAUGAAUCACACGCGUGGAUGCUAUCAGACUCGCUUUCUCCUCUUGCUGGCCCCAAAACAGGAAACUUUAUCAAGGCAGAUUAGGCUGCUGAAUAAUGAGGCUGCCAGAUCCUCCAACAACGUCUUCACAGAAACGCAACAGAUGGCUAAAAAAAGACACGUGCUAACAAUGCACUAAUGUGGAAUCUCCUAAAUAUCACCGAAACUGACUUCAAGCUGUAAGGCGUGAAACAAAAUUGCAAUAAUUAAUUCUGACAUUUGUUUUUGUAUGGACAUAGUAGUGUUGGGUGAAAGAAUAAAAUGUUGAAAAUUCAUUCAGUAUUUCACUCAUUUAUUUGUUACUUUUGACUUUUUUUUAAGGUCUGUUUGUCAGAUGAAGUAAAUGUCAUUUAAAAAAAAUAAAGAAAAAAAAAACUAAAUUGGUGUUAAAUUAGGAGGUUUUAAUCACAUUUUUUUAUUAAAUGUUGUGUAUUUUUUACUUAUUUGCAAAGUACUUUUGAAAAUUGUCAGAAAAGAAGAGAAGUUUAAGGAGCCAUGUUGAUAAAACUGGUGUUUUUAGCAUGUUGUUGUUACACUUUUUCUGAUGAUGGAGGACGUCUAUAAAUUAAAAUGAUAUUUGUUUGCAAAUCAGGAGCAAACGAGAAAAUGCACUUUAAAAAAACAACUUAAUCAGAGAGCUCUCAGCAAUGGGAAGAGGGGCGGGGUUGCUCUCUACCAGCAGUACCACCCACAACUUAGAGCCAAAUUUCAAAAUUGACUGGGACUUCAAGACUCUUAAAAUUUGAUUUUAACACAAACAACAGCUCUUAUGAACAAAACCACCAACAAAAAUAAAAAAGUAGAAUAAAAAAAAAAGAACUGUUGGUUAUUGAUAUAGAAAAUGAACAUAUUUUCAAUUUA